rnacentral:rRNA from 1 species
AGAGUUUGAUCAUGGCUCAGAACGAACGCUGGCGGCAUGCCUAACACAUGCAAGUCGAACGCCCUGGUUCGCCAGGGAGUGGCGCACGGGUGAGUAACGCGUGGGAACCUGCCCGGCAGUACGGGACAACCGCGGGAAACUGCGGCUGAUACCGUAUACGGCCUGAGGGCGAAAGAAAUUCGCUGUCGGAGGGGCCCGCGUCGGAUUAGGUAGUUGGUGGGGUAACGGCCUACCAAGCCUGCGAUCCGUAGCUGGUCUGAGAGGAUGAUCAGCCACACUGGGACUGAGACACGGCCCAGACUCCUACGGGAGGCAGCAGUGGGGAAUAUUGGACAAUGGGCGCAAGCCUGAUCCAGCAAUGCCGCGUGAGUGAUGAAGGCCUUAGGGUUGUAAAGCUCUUUCGCCCGCGACGAUGAUGACGGUAGCGGGAGAAGAAGCCCCGGCUAAUUCCGUGCCAGCAGCCGCGGUAAUACGGAGGGGGCUAGCGUUGUUCGGAAUUACUGGGCGUAAAGGGCGCGCAGGCGGCUGCUCAAGUCAGGCGUGAAAGGCCUGGGCUCAACCCGGGAAUUGCGCUUGAGACUGGGCUGGCUUGAGUGCGGGAGAGGAUGGUGGAAUUCCCAGUGUAGAGGUGAAAUUCGUAGAUAUUGGGAAGAACACCGGUGGCGAAGGCGGCCAUCUGGACCGCAACUGACGCUGAGGC